UUGGAGAUUAACAUUAGGCUCUUUGCUACUUAGGCAAAUUUCUGCAGCCAGCUUGAAUUUCUCCCUAGAAAAUGGAGUUUUCUUUUCUCCUGUAUCAUCAAGCUGCAAAUUUUCUGAACUUUUAUGUUGUGUUUCCCUUUUUAAAUGGAAUGCUUUUAACAGAACCUAAGUCACAUUUUGAAUGCUUUGCUGCUUAGAAAUUUCUUCUGCCAGAUACCCGAAAUCAUCUCUCACAAGUUCAAAGCUCCACAAAUCUCUAGGGCAAGGGCAAAUGCAGCCAAUCUCUUUGCUAGAACAUAAGAAGAGUCACCUUUGCACCAGUUCCCAACAAGUUCUUCAUCUCCAUCUGAGAUCACCUCAGCCUGGACCUUAUUGUCCAUAUCGCUAUCAGGCUUUUGGUCAAAGCCAUUCUACAAGUCUCUAGGAAGUUCCAAACUUUCCCACAUUUUCCUGUUUUCUUCUGAGCCCUCUAAACUGUUCCAACCUCUGCCUGUUACCCAGUUCCAAAGUCGCUUCCACAUUUUCAGGUUUCUUUUCAGCAAUGCCCCACUCUACUGGUACCAAUUUACUAUAUUAGUCCGUUUUUACACUGCUGACAAAGACAUACCCAAGACUGAGAAGAAAAGGAGGUUUAAUUGGACUUACAGUUCCACAUGGCUGGGGAGGAUCAUGGCAGAGGGUGAAAGGCACUUCUUACAUGGCAGCAGCAAGAGAGAAAUGAGGAGGAAGCAAAAGCGGAAAUCUGAUAAAACCCAUCAGAUCUCAUGAGAUUUAUUCACUAUCACGAGAAUAACAUGGGAAAGACCAGCCCUCAUGAUUCAGUUACCUCCCCCUGGGACCUUCCCACAUGUGUGAAUUCUAGGAGAUACAAUUCAAGUUGAGAUUUGAAUGUGGACACAGCCAAACCAUAUCAGGCUACUUGGGAGUUUAAGAAUUCAUAUAACUUGCUCUGCCAGAGAAAGCACAAUUUAUAAUUCAGAUCUUCCAGCAGUUACGAACUUUUCCUACCCCAGGCAGAUGCACAUGUCUUUUAUCAGAGGGGGUGAGAGGAGAAGAACGGAGCUGUGCUUAGGUAUGAAAAGAACUAAAAACAAAACUAAGAAACAACCUAACAAACAAAAAAACACCCAGGCCAACGCUCAUGGCAUCUGCACUUCUCUAAUGCUGAACAAUAUUCUUUAUAUAGUUGUAAUAUCUCAAGAGUAACUGAGACUUCAUGGUGUAAAAAUAUUACUUUUAAGGAUGGCUGGUUUUUUGUUUUACACAGUAUUUUGGGGGGAUUAGGGUUUUAAGCUUAUAGUGUCAUCAGAUUUUAUUUCACAUUAUGAUGACAAUCAAAGCCAUGGAUAAUGUUUCAUUUUGUAGGGGUUGUUGUUUUACUGUAACCUAAAGUCCACGUAGCAGUGGUUCUCAAACUAGAGCAUGCAACAGAACCCCCGGGAGGGCGUGGUGAAACACACUGCUGGCCUCGCCUUGCAUUUCCAGCAAGUUCUCCAUGCAGAGAUGCGACUUCUGGUCCCACACCACACCUGGAGACCCAUCAUACAGAGGAAACAAAAAUUUACCUGUUUCUGAGGAGUGUAAACCAUGGCACUAGGGUUCUGGCCCUCCUCUCUUUAUGUAGAGGAGUUAGGCACCAUCUGGCAACCACCCAGGGAUUUGUAAUUCUAAUUCUUGAUCCCACUUCUUUGGUUUGUAUCUUCUAGUUAUUUAACAUGAAAACACCAUAAGGUUGUUUAUCCUUGGAAAAAACAUAAUGGUUUAUUCCUGCUGACUUUUGUCACAUAUUACACAUUCUGUCUCUGAAUUACACUAAUUUCUGAUUACGAAUGAGCCCGUGAGAGGAUAGUUCCAGCUAGAGAAACAGAACCCAUAAUCGGUUUCAGCUUGCUUUCUCUGGCCCUUUCCUAGAUGGCUUCUAGGUCACCCCUCACCCCCAGCAUUCUCUGAAGUCUGUUUGUUGAGAGCUGAGCCCAGCCUGUGUCAGUUAGGAAGUAAUCACAUGGAGUCUAAAAGCAAUUCCAAAAAUGUAUUAGCAGGACGCCUGGCUGUCCUCUCCUCACCUCACACAGAUGACAGGGCAAAGAUACUCUACUUUCCUGAAGAUGAAGACAUCUGCUUCUCCCAGAACAGACCUUAACUGCAGGGUCACAGUUGUCUUUCAGUAGGACAAUCUCAGCUAAAAUCUGCUUUCUGCACAGCAGGAAAAAACCCUGAACUCGGUCCCACCCCAGGGCUGAUGGAAAGCUUGGCUGGAGCGGAGUGCUGGCCUGCCACGAAUGCCAGGGAACAGGGCCUUGGUCAGCAAAGAACAAACCCGGGUGGUCUUAUUCCAAACAUAUCCCUGAAUAACUAAGUGGCCUCCGGGUUUGACAGCUCAUAACCUUUUAAAAAGUGGUAAAAUACAAUUUUGCACAAAGUCUGGCUGCAGUUGGCAAACCAGGUGCACUGCAUGAAAUGUUCAUGUGAAACCCAAGCAAUAGGGCAGGCAGCUGGAACAAUCGCUGUCUAAGCACAGUUAACGCCCACACAGCCCCGGGGAAGGGCAGCUCUGCACAAAGGGCAUGUCUGAAGGAAAACAGCACCAACAUGUUCGUUUAUGGCAGAGAAAAACCAAGCUGCUUCUUUCUUCCUCUUCCCCUCAAUCUGUAUUAAUAAAGAGACUUUAAUAUAAUAAAGAACUCCCAAAUUUAUCUAGAUUGCAGCAACCUGACCAAGGUGCCACUAUAACUUUCAGAGCUUCGGUGUCUACAAAAGGCAAAACACUUCAAGUCGCCAGUGGUGAGGAGGAUGCAUGACAAGUUAGCAUCAGUCUGCCCCCAGGUAAGUACCUUAGGGUCGUCCCAGAGAAAGUGCAGUUCCUAAUGGCCAAGUCCAAAAUGCAUUGCACCAAAUGGCUACCAUGUAUGUUGGGGUGAGCUGUAAUUGUUUUCAUGGCUAAUAAGGGGCUGAGCUAAAUGAUCCCAAGUCCCUCUGAGUCUGUCCUCAAAGAUGAUAACUACAGAAGUCAGCUGUUUAGAGUUUCACCUCCACCCUGGGUUACCAAGCAUGGGCUUCAUGAGAUUCAUGAGAUUCAUAGCAAUGCUGCUCAGGGCUGAGGGAUCAUUCUCCUCUACUCGAAACUCUCUUAGUGUUCUGGAUUCAACACCAGAGAGCACAGUUUCCCAGUGAGCAUUAAUUAAUUGCCAAAUAAACAGGUGACAAUGGCAUCCUGUUUACAUACAGCAGACCAAUGUGAGCCCCACUAGAAUAAGACCUCACUAUUUUAAGUAUAAGCAUAUUUUUUUUAAGGCUGGGAGUUGGGUACAGGCAGCUGGACAUUAAAGGAAGACCAUCUUGGAUGGGCACGGUGGUUCACGCCUGUAAUCCCAGCACUUUGGGGGGCCGAGAUGGGUGGAUCACUUAAGGCCAGGAGUUCCAGACCAGCCUGGCCAACAUGGUGAAACCC
rnacentral:lncRNA from 1 species